AUGGCGGAGCCCAAGUGGCCCGGCAGCAUCGCCAUGAAGACAGAGGCCGAUGCGUUCCACGAGCAGUACUACUCCUUCAGCGGCGCCGCCUCCCUCUUCCACCACAGCAAGCCGGAGAGGAAGCACUUCCCCUUCCUGACCGACGGCGGUGGCGAGGCCAUGUUCGGCUACCAGCCACUGGCCUUCACCAGCACACCUUCCUCGGAGAGCAACAGUAACAGCAGCCGGCACAGCAACGGCAAGACCACCAUGUUCGCCCACGACGGGGGCCCAGACCACAACUGUGCUCUCUCUUUUCUGUCAGACAACCCGACGCUGGUGCACAUCAUGGUCCCCGUGGAGGCGCAUCAUCUCAGCGGCGGCGGCGGCAUGACAAUACAGUACGACAGUGGCGGUGGCGGCGGCGGCAAGGUGGCGCGGCUGUCCAACAACGACGACGUCUCGCUCACCGGGCUGUCUUACGUGAGCCUCGGAGACAAGGGCCCGCCCAUGUUGCACGCAUCUAACAGAUCACAACACGCCGCUGCUACCGCUACCGCUGCUGUUACUACCAGCACAGUAGCGGCUCCGGCUGCAUCCCAGCUCCAGCAGCAGUACCAUGGAUAG
rnacentral:rRNA from 1 species